rnacentral:rRNA from 1 species
GACGAACGCUGGCGGCGUGCUUAACACAUGCAAGUCGAACGGAAAGGCCCCUUUGGGGGUACUCGAGUGGCGAACGGGUGCGUAACACGUGAGUAACCUGCCCUUGCCUUCUGGAUAACUUCAGGAAACUGGGGCUAAUACCGGUUAGGCAUCCUUGCUGCAUGGGGGGGGUUGGAAAGCUUCGGCGGGUUUGGGUGGACUGGCGGGUUAUCAGCUGGUUGGCGGGGUAGUGGGUUACCCAGGCUUUGAGGGGUAGACGGCCUGUGAGGGCGACCGGCGACAUUGGGACUGAGAGGCGGCCCAGACUCCUACGGGAGGAAGCAGGGGGGAAUAUUGCACAAGGGGCGGAGGCUGGAUGCAGCAACGCCGCGUGCGGGAGGACGGCCUUCGGGUUGUAAACCGCUUGCAGCAGGGGCGAAGCUUGUGGUGACGGUACCUGCAGAAGAAGCACCGGCUAACUACGUG